rnacentral:rRNA from 1 species
UACGUAGGAUCCAAGCGUUGUCCGGAUUUACUGGGUGUAAAGGGUGCGCAGGCGGACUGGUUAGUCUGGGGUGAAAUCUCAUCGCUUAACGGUGAAACUGCCUUAGAUACUGCCAGUCUUGAAUUAGGGAGAGGUUCGUGGAAUUCCGAGUGUAGCAGUGAAAUGUGUAGAUAUUCGGAAGAACACCAGUGGCGAAGGCAGCGAACUGGCCCUUAAUUGACGCUCAGGCACGAAAGCAUGGGGAUCAAACAGG